AAACCAUGGUGGGGACACCUAAGAAUACUAUCUUUGAAUCUUUCCCAACUUUCAUAAAACUUUUCGUGUUCCUCUUGACAAAAAUCAGUAAUUUCUUUCUUCAAGAU